UGAAAUAAUCAGACAUAAUGUGUUUUGUUUAUAGUAUACAGACUGAGAUUAAUAUAUUAUAUGUGUAUCUAACUUCCCCAAUUUUCAUUAGCGUUAUACCUGAACAAAAUGGCUUGUAAAUGUGGAUGUGGAUGUGUUUGUAAGGGCUGCGCUGGAACAACUGCCUGCUGUGGAAAGAAGUGUUGUGCUAAGUGCAAAUGUUAGACGAUGAGGUUAUUAAGGCUGAUACUGACAGAAGAUGGCCUGCAUGGAGUAUUAAACUAGUGUUAAAUUAAAAACUCUUACUAAUCUUAUCUUAAUCUACUAAAAUUAUAAUAAAUGACGUAAUUAUCUAAUGUAAUAUAUAAUUUCUAAUGUAAUAUAUAAUAUGAUAUAAUGAACUGAUUUUAGUUUAUCUUAAAUUUCAAA